UUCCACGUUAUAUGUAGUAGUUUUACGAAUUUAAUGGCAUUAUUUAUGCGCGUCAUUCGUAUGAAUUUUUUAACCUUAAGUGGACAUUAUUAAUCGAGUUCUAAACACGUUUAACGUACUUUGUGAGGUCGGCACAGCUGGGGAGUUGCAGUUGAGAGAUGUACCAAAGGGACGAUAUUUUUCACGCGCCAUGACUUCGUAUAAAUAAACGGACGAGCGCGGAAAGGGGGAGAAAAACAGAGCCAAACAAAAAGAAGGGGGAAAUAUUUUCAUGGAAAAUUUCCAUAAGAAAAAGUGAUAUUCUCCCCUGGAUAAGAAAAAACACAAUGUUACACAAAGC
rnacentral:misc_RNA from 1 species